AGCGAACGCUGGCGGCAGGCCUAACACAUGCAAGUCGAACGAAGCCUUCGGGCUUAGUGGCGGACGGGUGAGUAACACGUGGGAACGUACCUUUUGGUUCGGAAUAACGCAGAGAAAUUUGCGCUAAUACCGAAUGAGGCCUUCGGGGGAAAGAUUUAUCGCCGAAAGAUCGGCCCGCGUUGGAUUAGGUAGUUGGGGUGGUAAAGGCGCACCAAGCCUACGAUCCAUAGCUGGUCUGAGAGGAUGAUCAGCCACACUGGGACUGAGACACGGCCCAGACUCCUACGGGAGGCAGCAGUGGGGAAUCUUGCGCAAUGGGCGAAAGCCUGACGCAGCCAUGCCGCGUGAAUGAUGAAGGUCUUAGGAUUGUAAAAUUCUUUUACCAGGGACGAUAAUGACGGUAUCUGGAGAAAAAGCCCCGGCUAACUUCGUGCCAGCCGCCGCAGUAAAAC
rnacentral:rRNA from 1 species